GACGAACGCUGGCGGCGUGGAUUAGGCAUGCAAGUCGAACGGUAUCAUCCUUUCGGGGGUGAGAGAGUGGCGAACUGGUGAGUAACACGUAGGUUAUCUACCCUCAAGACGGGGACAACCCAGGGAAACUUGGGCUAAUACCGGAUGUGAGCAACUUUUAGUUGUUUGAAAGGUGGCGUAAGCUGUCGCUUGGGGAUGAGCCUGCGUCCUAUUAGUUAGUUGGUGAGGUAACGGCUCACCUAGGCAAUGAUAGGUAGGCGGCCUUAACGGGUGGUCGCCCACACUGGGAUUGAGAUACGGCCCAGACUCCUACGGGAGGCAGCAGUCGAGAAUAGUCUACAAUGGUCGGAAGACUGAUAGUGCGACGCCGCGUGAACGAUGAAUCCCUUCGGGGUGUAAAGUUCUUUUAUAUGUGAGCAGUGCUUCUUAUAUUAACAGUAUGGGGAGAGAGAUAUUAGCAUAUGAAUAAAGCAAACGGCUAAACUCCGUGCCAGCAGCCGCGGUAAUA
rnacentral:rRNA from 1 species